rnacentral:lncRNA from 1 species
AGGAAUUUUAAUUAAAAUGUGUUUGGUCUCAGGGUCCUAUUUCUGGCAUGUGAUUUUCACAUUAAUUAUUUCCAAACUUGUGUGUAUGUGUGUGUGUGCAUGUGUAACUUUUCACUGAAAAACAUUACUGAUUCAUAGCGCUACUCAUACACCGUAAUGUCAUUUACUUGUGUGUGUGUGCAUUCACAGCAGAAAUUAUCUCAUCAAAUACAAUGUCUUUUGCAAUAACAUACAUAAACACAUUUUUUUGUAGGAGAAACACGAAGUGUUACUUUUGCACCAAACCUUCUUAAAUAUUUAAUGUAAUAUACAUGAUCCCUUUGAGGUGACAACAUUGACCAGAUGACCUUUUGAAAUGGAGCACUCUUCAUAGGACCUGGUCCAUAAUUCUCUUUUUCAUAAUUUGUAAUUAAUACCAAAAUCUAUCAAUUUCACAUACAGAUUUUCUAUAGAUAAAUAUAAGUAUGCAAAGGUUACUGAGGGUUUUAACAUAGAUAUCCAUUAAUUGGGACUUUCUCUUUUCCAAGGACUUGGCACAUUGUUGGACCAUCUUAUAAUCUAAAUCAUUAAGAUCAUUAUUUGUCUAUAUGUACAUAUAAUAUUUGAUAUUGGCUAUUUACCCACAAAUAGUAUUAAAUAUUCUUAUGAGAAAAGAGUAAAGCAGAAUCAGAAAAUUAAGUUAUAGUUGGAUAAGACAGAGAAAAUGAAAGAAAAAAGUGGGGUCCCCAUGAUACAAAUCUACUAUUUUUCAUAUUAAUUUGGUGCUCACUGGCUAGAAAAGGAAUUUUCUUUAUAAUUUCAAAAUUUCUAAACGUGAAAUUCCAUUAGUGAUAAAAUUUUAACUUCUGUUUCUUUUUUCAUAAUAAAUAUCCUUAGCUCUUUGACUUUUGAAAAAGACUAACUAAAAUUUGGCUGUUAGUAUGAUAGGGCAAAAUUUUGGUAACAGACAAUCAUGUGCUAAAAUUGUUCCUCUGUAGGAACCAAUUGGAAAUACAUGGAACAAGCAACUGGACUCAGCCAUGGAGAUAUUAGGGACUGAGGGAACUCAGUAAGAGCUCCCCCAAGACUAACUGAUCCUCUAUUCUGAUCCUCAGGCCCCUUAUAUCUUUUAUUACCUGUUUGAGAUGCUAAUUCACUUCCUGCCACUGUCAGACAUCAGUCCUCCCUGGAGAAUAACUGUG